rnacentral:rRNA from 1 species
ACGAGACACGUGAAACCUUGUGGGAAGCAGGGAGGACCACCUCCCAAGGCUAAAUACUACCUGAUGACCGAUAGUGAAGCAGUACCGUGAGGGAAAGGUGAAAAGAACCCCGGGAGGGGAGUGAAAUAGAACCUGAAACCGUGUGCCUACAACCGCUCAGAGCCCCUUAUGAGGGUGAUGAGGUGCUUUUUGUAGAACGAGCCAACGAGUUACGGUAUGUAGCAAGGUUAAGUACUUAAGGUACGGAGCCGAAGGGAAACCGAGUCUGAAUAGGGCGACUAGUUGCAUGCCGUAGACCCGAAACCGGGUGACCUAUCCAUGGCCAGGUUGAAGCGAGGGUAAAACCUCGUGGAGGACCGAACCACGUUGCUGUUGAAAAAGCAUGGGAUGAGCUGUGGAUAGCGGAGAAAUUCCAAUCGAACCCGGAGAUAGCUGGUUCUCUCCGAAAUAGCUUUAGGGCUAGCGUCGAGUAUGAGUAGUGGAGGUAGAGCACUGAAUGGGCUAGGGGGCAUAGCGCUUACCGAACCUUAUCAAACUCCGAAUGCCACAUACUUUGAGCUCGGCAGUCAGACUACGAAUGAUAAGAUCCGUGGUCAAAAGGGAAACAGCCCAGAUCGUCAGCUAAGGUCCCAAAGUGUAAGUUAAGUGGGAAAGGAUGUGAGAUUUCUAAGACAACUAGGAUGUUGGCUUAGAAGCAGCCAUUCAUUAAAAGAGUGCGUAAUAGCUCACUAGUCGAGAGAUCUUGCGCCGAAAAUGUAACGGGGCUAAACUUACCACCGAAGCUACGGGCUUGAACUUAGUUCAAGCGGUAGGAGAGCGUCGUAACCGGGCUGAAGUCGUACCGUAAGGAGCGGUGGACUGGUUACGAGUGAGAAUGUUGGCAUCAGUAGCGAGAUGUGGGUGAGAAUCCCACAGGCCGAAAACCUAAGGUUUCCUCAGGAAGGUUCGUCCGCUGAGGGUUAGUCGGGACCUAAGCCGAGGCCGAAAGGCGUAGGUGAUGGACAACUG